rnacentral:misc_RNA from 1 species
UAUGAAGAACGCAGCGAAAUGCGAUAAGUAGUGUGAAUUGCAGAAUUCAGUGAAUCAUCGAAUCUUUGAACGCACGUUGCGCCCCUUGGUAUUCCAUGGGGCAUGCCUGUUCGAGCGUCAUUUGUACCUUCAAGCUCUGCUUGGUGUUGGGUGUUUGUCUCGCCUCUGCGUGUAGACUCGCCUCAAAACAAUUGGCAGCCGGCGUAUUGAUUUCGGAGCGCAGUACAUCUCGCGCUUUGCACUCAUAACGACGACGUCCAAAAGUACAUUUUUACACUCUUGACCUCGGAUCAGGUAGGGAUACCCGCUGAACUUAAGCAUAUCAAUAAGCGGAGGA